rnacentral:rRNA from 1 species
ACGCUGGCGGCAUGCUUUACACAUGCAAGUCGAACGGUAACAGGGAGCUUGCUCCGCUGACGAGUGGCGAACGGGUGAGUAAUAUAUCGGAACGUACCCAAGAGUGGGGGAUAACGUAGCGAAAGUUACGCUAAUACCGCAUACGAUCCAAGGAUGAAAGCAGGGGACCGCAAGGCCUUGUGCUCCUGGAGCGGCCGAUAUCUGAUUAGCUAGUUGGUAGGGUAAAGGCCUACCAAGGCAUCGAUCAGUAGCUGGUCUGAGAGGACGACCAGCCACACUGGAACUGAGACACGGUCCAGACUCCUACGGGAGGCAGCAGUGGGGAAUUUUGGACAAUGGGCGCAAGCCUGAUCCAGCAAUGCCGCGUGAGUGAAGAAGGCCUUCGGGUUGUAAAGCUCUUUUGUCAGGGAAGAAACGGGUGUGGCUAAUAUCUGCAUCUAAUGACGGUACCUGAAGAAUAAGCACCGGCUAACUACGUGCCAGCAGCCGCGGUAAUACGUAGGGUGCAAGCGUUAAUCGGAAUUACUGGGCGUAAAGCGUGCGCAGGCGGUUUUGUAAGUCUGUUGUGAAAUCCCCGGGCUUAACCUGGGAAUGGCAAUGGAGACUGCAAGGCUAGAGUUUGGCAGAGGGGGGUAGAAUUCCACGUGUAGCAGUGAAAUGCGUAGAGAUGUGGAGGAACACCGAUGGCGAAGGCAGCCCCCUGGGUCAAGACUGACGCUCAUGCACGAAAGCGUGGGGAGCAAACAGGAUUAGAUACCCUGGUAGUCCACGCCCUAAACGAUGUCUACUAGUUGUCGGGUCUUAAUUGACUUGGUAACGCAGCUAACGCGUGAAGUAGACCGCCUGGGGAGUACGGUCGCAAGAUUAAAACUCAAAGGAAUUGACGGGGACCCGCACAAGCGGUGGAUGAUGUGGAUUAACUCGAUGCAACGCGAAAAACCUUACCUACCCUUGACAUGGCAGGAAUCCCGAAGAGAUUUGGGAGUGCUC